rnacentral:tmRNA from 1 species
GGGGGCGUACUGGUUUCGACGGGGAUCGUCGAGGGUUCAGGAAGCGAGCCGCGGCCCCGAACCGCGAUAAAAUCGGGAAAAGCAUAACUGCGAAAAACAAUACUAACGCUUUAGCGUUCGCGGCCUAAGGCCGUGCGUCGAACUCAAGCGCCUACUGCUUGAACCCUCGGCGUCAUUGAAGUAGGGAACGGGCCCGCCUAAGCUUUGCGGCGUGGCCGGCAUCAUGAAGCUACCGACGACGGUAUCCCGCCUAUGGGAGGCCGCCAAAGGGAAAUAUAAAACGUAGGCUGCGCUCGGAGAUGCCAGGGCUUUCGGAUUUUCGGACGGGGGUUCGAUUCCCCCCGCCUCCACCA